rnacentral:rRNA from 1 species
GACGAACGCUGGCGGCGUGCUUAACACAUGCAAGUCGAACGAAGUGGCGAACGGGUGAGUAACGCGUAAUCAACCUGCCCUUCAGAGGGGGACAACAGUUGGAAACGACGGCUAAUACCGAAUACUGAAGGAGGGGAUUGAGUCUGAUUAGCUAGUUGGAGGGGUAACGGCCAACCAAGGCGAUGAUAAGUAGCCGGUCUGCGAGGAUGAACGGCCACAUUGGGACUGAGACACGGCCCAGACGCCUACGGGAGGCAGCCGUGGGGAAUCUUCCGCAAUGGACGAAAGUCUGACGGGGCAACGCCGCGUGAGUGAUGACGGCCUUCGGGUUGUAAAGCUCUGUUAGUCGGAGCACGGUACCGGAAUAGAAAGCCACGGCUAACUACGUGCCAGCAGCCGCGGUAAUAC